AUGAACGCUGGCGGCGUGCUUAACCCAUGCCAGUCGAACGGAAAGGCUCCUGCUUGCAGGGGUACUCGAGUGGCGAACGGGUGAGUAACACGUGGGUGAUCUGCCCUGCACUUCGGGAUAAGCCUGGGAAACUGGGUCUAAUACCGGAUAGGACGAUGGUUUGGAUGCCAUUGUGGAAAGUUUUUCGGUGUGGGAUGAGCUCGCGGCCUAUCAGCUUGUUGGUGGGGUAAUGGCCUACCAAGGCGUCGACGGGUAGCCGGCCUGAGAGGGUGUACGGCCACAAUGGGACUGAGAUACGGCCCAGACUCCUACGGGAGGCAGCAGUGGGGAAUAUUGCACAAUGGGCGCAAGCCUGAUGCAGCGACGCCGCGUGGGGGAUGACGGCCUUCGGGUUGUAAACUCCUUUCGCUAGGGACGAAGCGCAAGUGACGGUACCUGGAGAAGAAGCACCGGCUAACUACGUG
rnacentral:rRNA from 1 species